rnacentral:lncRNA from 1 species
GGUAGAUAUUCAGUUCCCGUUGGGCCGUAGGGAAGUCAAGUCCUUGAUCCGGGCAAAAGGGCUCGAUCUUUGGCAAAGGGAGUGGGAUGCUAGUAGUAAGGGGAGGCAAUUUUAUUGCAUGCACCGGUCAGUUAAGGAAGAGGUGGGCAGUAUGGGAUGUAGGAGAGAAGAAGUUGUGUGGCGUAGACUACAGUUUGGACAUACAGGUUUGAAUGCCACAUUGUGGAUGAUAAGGAGACAUGAAACAGCUGUUAAACCCCAUCAAAGAAGAUUGGAAAUACUUUGCGACUGACACAUGGGCAAACUGUGAGUAAAAGGUUGCAACCAAUAUGGCUGAAUAUCUACGCCAGGCGACCGAAAGAACAAGAGAAACCGAACCCUUCGCUCUGACUCUCAGGGACAAUCACCUCUACUCCCUGGCCAUUCACCAUCGUGACUGGGAAGACUCUGGAGCAGAAGACAUUAUGUUUUGCUGUUUUACAAGAAUUCAUAUGGAAAAUUGAUACCUGGUAGGGGUUGGGGGGAGUAAAGGGUAAAGUGUUUACUUUUCUUCACCCCCUUUCCUCAGCUUUAAUUGCAAGGGCUACUGUGAUUUUGAAAUGAUGGAUUGUGCUAAAGUUUUUAUUUGUGUGUUCCUUAUUUGUUUAUUUUUUGCAUGACUUUCUUUUGGAGCUGAAAUUAAUAACUCAAAAAACAUAUUUUGUAUUUUAUUUACAAUUUGUCAUGAUUGGCCAUAUGUCAUUUUAAGAAUUUCAUAGACUGUGUCGAAAAUUUGUAACAUUGAUUGUUAUUGUUAGAUAUAUUUUGUACAUUUAGAAAAUUAACAGAUUAUGUAAUAGAGAGAAGGUAGAAAAAUAACCCAGCAAUAAAGUAAGAAAUAACCCACUGCUGGGUCAAAAAUACAUGAAUAAAAAUAACCCAGCAAAAGAGUAAAAAGCAACCUAAUGCUGGGUCAAAGUAAUCACAUUUUGUGGUAAAUCAAUAAACCCAACGUGUUGGGUCAUUCAUGUAACCCAACAGUGCUGUAUUCAAAUAUUUUUUUGUGUGUAAGGAAAGGGGAUGACUAUGACAUUGAACCUCUGUAGAUAAGAUAUACUGUAGGCGUAUGUUAUUUCCAACCUUAAAAGUUUGGGGAAUAUUAAUGUUUACAUAAGGAAGAUGACCUUGGAUUAAAACCUCUACAGGAUUGGUGGGUCCCCCGCGGGACGGUUGAGCUAACGUAGGCUAAUGCGACUAGCAUGAGUUUGUAAGUAACAAGAACAUUUCCCAGGACAUAGACAUAUCUGAUAUUGGCAGAAAGCUUAAAUUCUUGUUAAUGUAACUGCACUGUCCAAUUUACAGUAGCUAUUACAGUGAAAGAAUACCAUGCAAUUGUUUGAGAAGAGUGCACAGUUAUGAACUUGAAAAGUUAUUAUUAAACCAAUUAGGCACAUUUGGGCAGUCUUGAUACAAUAUUUUGAGCAGAAAUACAAUGGUUCAUUGGAUCAGUCUAAAACUUUACACAAACACUGCUUCCAUCUAGUGGCCAAAAUCUAAAUUGCGCCUGGGCUGUAAUAAUACAUUAUGGCCUUUCUCUUGCAUUUCGAAGAUGAUUGUACAAAAAAAACAUGUUUUUUUCCUUUGUAUUAUCUUCUAAAUGAUCUAAUGUGUUAUAUUCUCCUAAAUUCAUUUCACAUUUCUACUAACUUCAAAGUGUUUCCUUUCAAAUGGUUUCAAGAAUAUGCACAUCCUUGUUUCAGGUCCUGAGCUCCAGGCAGUUAAAUUUGGGUAUGGUAUUUUAUGCGAAAAUUGAAAAAAAAAGGGAUGGAUCCUUAAGGUUUUUUAAGCAAAGCAUUAAAGUCAAAACCCACAAUUUGCAAAAACAGAACAAUGUAUUAU